rnacentral:rRNA from 1 species
CCUACGGGUGGCAGCAGUAGGGAAUAUUGCGCAAUGGGGGAAACCCUGAUGCAGCGACGCCGCGUGAGUGAUGAAGUAUUUCGGUAUGUAAAGCUCUAUCAGCAGGGAAGAUACUGAACGUACCUGACUAAGAAGCCCCGGCUAAAUACGUGCCAGCCGCCGCGGUAAUUAGGAGGGAGCCAGCGUUAUCCGGAUUUACUGGGUGUAAAGGGAGCGCAGACGGCAGGGCAAGUCUGAUGUGAAAGUCCGGGGCUCAACCCCCGGACGGCAUUGGAAACUGGCCGGCUAGAGUGCAGGAGAGGUAAGUGGAAUUCCUAGUGUAGCGGUGAAAUGCGUAGAUAUUAGGAGGAACACCAGUGGCGAAGGCGGCUUACUGGACUGUAACUGACGUUGAGGCUCGAAAGCGGGGGUAGCAAACAGGAUUAGAUGCCCGGGUAGUC